UGUAGAUUACACUAAGAAGGCACUGAGAGUCAAAGUCCAAAAACUUCCUCAGCUGCUCUUCUCACCCCCUAACAUUUUGCAUGUAAUAUGAUUGGGAAGUUGGAUGCUGUCUUUGUGCUUUAGCUGAGAAACCACAUUAAUUUUCCCAAGGCCCGUAUUUUCAGAGCCCUGCUACAGUUUUAUUUCCUUUUUUUUUUCCAGGGUACUAUUUAUGAUUCUCCUUUUAAUGGAGAAAAUGCAAGAGUAAAGAGGUGACUUUUCGAGUACAGAAGUAAUAUGGAAUCGCUCCUCCAAAGGUUAAGGGUGAGUCAAAUUCACGAACUGUGAGUGAAUCUAUGUGCCUUUGUAGGUUUUGGAAGGGAAGAGGAGAAUUUCAGGGUGUGGACCAGGGCUGGCAAUAGACAUUUUUCUCAUGACAAAAUUAGAGUGCAGAAAGGAUACAUGGUCAGUAGUAAAAGCGUGGAAAUGCUCUUUGCUCCCACACUCUGCAUGUGAAAGAAACCUAAUGAAAGCUCAGAUCUGCAUCUCAAUGGACAAAUCACAUGCUAUGAUAUUUACUUUUUGAAUGCUCAUCUACUGAUGGAUAUGCUUGUUAGUGUUUUUGAGAGUGUAUCUAAGAGCCAUGUGUGUAGAAUACAGUCCAAGGAAACAUAAAAUGAUUUUUGGCAUAGCUCAUUGUGGUCUGAUGUAUGCACAGAAUGAUAAAUCUUAGUUACUUGUAUUAAUAAAUGGACUAUGUGAUUGACUCUUAGAAGUUACAUGAUAAAUGAAAGAGCAUUAUCUGAUUUGGAAUAACUCCUGAUCUGUGGCAGGUGGCAAAAGUGUACAGGUGCAUGGGCUUUUUUUUUAUAUUGGUUUUUUGUCCUGAAAGGUUCCUACUGACAUUUUGGGAAAAAAAAUUGAGACUAGAGGAGAAGAAAAUUGAUUUAUUUUUAAGAAAAAAUUUGGAGCACAGCCUCCUGCCUCUGCGGACACUGCUGACCACCUGGACACAGACGGUGAGCGAGGAGCUGCCCUCUCCAGCCCGUUCUCACCCAAGACCGGCAUGGGCCGCUCCCGUCUCCGCUCCCGCUGCUUCUUUGCAGCUGCGGGGCUUCGCUCCUGCUGCACCAAGAGCAGGGAGAGCGUGUGCCUGUGGCAAGGAAAGGACUGGGACUGAAUUAUCUGUUCUGUUUGUUGGCAAUUUUAAUAACUGCUGUUGCUUUCUGCUUGUAUUAUUAGAUAUAUUAGUAAAGGAGCUGUUAUUCCUACCCCCUUAUCUCUGCCUCAGAGUCCUUGAUUCGGACGAUUGUAAUACUUGGGGGGGGAGUGGAACUGGGGUCUCCAUUUCAAAGGAAGACUUCUGCCUUUAUUGGCAGAUACCUGUCCUCCAAACCAGGACACCAAGUCCCUCUUCUUAA
rnacentral:lncRNA from 1 species